rnacentral:rRNA from 1 species
UGGGGAAUAUUGCACAAUGGGCGGAAGCCUGAUGCAGCAACGCCGCGUGCGGGAUGACGGCCUUCGGGUUGUAAACCGCUUUCAGCAGGGACGAAGCUUUGGUGACGGUACCUGCAGAAGAAGCACCGGCUGACUACGUGCCAGCAGCCGCGGUGAUACGUAGGGUGCGAGCGUUGUCCGGAUUUAUUGGGCGUAAAGAGCUUGUAGGCGGUUGGUUGCGUCGAAAGUGCAAACUCAGGGCUUAACUCUGAGCCUGCUUUCGAUACGGGCUGACUUGAGGGAUGUAGGGGAGAAUGGAAUUCCCGGUGGAGCGGUGGAAUGCGCAGAUAUCGGGAGGAACACCAGUGGCGAAGGCGGUUCUCUGGACAUUUCCUGACGCUGAGAAGCGAAAGCGUGGGGAGCAAACA